rnacentral:rRNA from 1 species
GACGAACGCUGGCGGCGUGCCUAAUACAUGCAAGUAGAACGCUGAAGGAGGAGCUUGCUUCUCUGGAUGAGUUGCGAACGGGUGAGUAACGCGUAGGUAACCUGCCUUGUAGCGGGGGAUAACUAUUGGAAACGAUAGCUAAUACCGCAUAAUAGCAGUUAUUGCAUGAUAACUGUUUGAAAGGUGCAAUUGCACCACUACCAGAUGGACCUGCGUUGUAUUAGCUAGUUGGUGGGGUAACGGCUCACCAAGGCGACGAUACAUAGCCGACCUGAGAGGGUGAUCGGCCACACUGGGACUGAGACACGGCCCAGACUCCUACGGGAGGCAGCAGGAGGGAAUCUUCGGCAAUGGACGGAAGUCUGACCGAGCAACGCCGCGUGAGUGAAGAAGGUUUUCGGAUCGUAAAGCUCUGUUGUAAGAGAAGAACGAGUGUGAGAGUGGAAAGUUCACACUGUGACGGUAUCUUACCAGAAAGGGACGGCUAACUACGUG